rnacentral:rRNA from 1 species
GUCGAGCGGGUAGCACAGGGGAGCUUGCUCCCUGGGUGACGAGCGGCGGACGGGUGAGUAAUGUCUGGGAAACUGCCUGAUGGAGGGGGAUAACUACUGGAAACGGUAGCUAAUACCGCAUAACGUCGCAAGACCAAAGAGGGGGACCUUCGGGCCUCUUGCCAUCAGAUGUGCCCAGAUGGGAUUAGCUAGUAGGUGGGGUAAUGGCUCACCUAGGCGACGAUCCCUAGCUGGUCUGAGAGGAUGACCAGCCACACUGGAACUGAGACACGGUCCAGACUCCUACGGGAGGCAGCAGUGGGGAAUAUUGCACAAUGGGCGCAAGCCUGAUGCAGCCAUGCCGCGUGUGUGAAGAAGGCCUUCGGGUUGUAAAGCACUUUCAGCGAGGAGGAAGGUGGUGAACUUAAUACGCUCAUCAAUUGACGUUACUCGCAGAAGAAGCACCGGCUAACUCCGUGCCAGCAGCC